GCUGUAGCUCAGUGGUAGAGCAUCUGCUUGGCAUGCAGAAGGUCACAGGUUCAGUCCACAGUGCAUAUCCA